GGCCGCCUGGUGAAAUGGCAUCGCAUCUGACUAAGAAUCAGGAGAUUGCAGGUUCGACCUCUGCGGUGGUCA
rnacentral:tRNA from 1 species